UACGUAGGGGGCAAGCGUUGUCCGGAUUUAUUGGGCGUAAAGAGUGUGUAGGCGGCUUUACAGGUCCGUUGUGAAAACUCGAGGCUCAACCUCGAGACGCCGGUGGAAACCGUAAGGCUAGAGUCCGGAAGAGGAGAGUGGAAUUCCUGGUGUAGCGGUGAAAUGCGCAGAUAUCAGGAAGAACACCUAUGGCGAAGGCAGCUCUCUGGGACGGUACUGACGCUGAGACGCGAAAGCGUGAGGAGCGAACAGG
rnacentral:rRNA from 1 species